AUUGAACGCUGGCGGCAGGCCUAACACAUGCAAGUCUAACGGUAACAGGAAGAAGCUUGCUUCUUUGCUGACGAGUGGCGGACGGGUGAGUAAUGUCUGGGAAACUGCCUGAUGGAGGGGGAUAACUACUGGAAACGGUAGCUAAUACCGCAUAACGUCGCAAGACCAAAGAGGGGGACCUUCGGGCCUCUUGCCAUCGGAUGUGCCCAGAUGGGAUUAGCUAGUAGGUGGGGUAACGGCUCACCUAGGCGACGAUCCCUAGCUGGUCUGAGAGGAUGACCAGCCACACUGGAACUGAGACACGGUCCAGACUCCUACGGGAGGCAGCAGUGGGGAAUAUUGCACAAUGGGCGCAAGCCUGAUGCAGCCAUGCCGCGUGUAUGAAGAAGGCCUUCGGGUUGUAAAGUACUUUCAGCGGGGAGGAAGGGAGUAAAGUCAAUACCUUUGCUCAUUGACGUUACCCGCAGAAGAAGCACCGGCUAACUCCGUG
rnacentral:rRNA from 1 species